UUCCCCUAGUAACUGCGAGUGAAGCGGGAAGAGCUCAAAUUUAAAAUCUGGCGUGCCUCCGGUCGUCCGAGUUGUAGUCUGGAGAAGCGUUUUCCGUGUUGGACCGUGUAUAAGUCUCUUGGAACAGGGCGUCAUAGAGGGUGAGAAUCCCGUCUUUGACACGGACUACCAAUGCUUUGUGAUGCGCUCUCAAAGAGUCGAGUUGUUUGGGAAUGCAGCUCAAAAUGGGUGGUAAAUUCCAUCUAAAGCUAAAUAUAGGCGAGAGACCGAUAGCGAACAAGUACCGUGAGGGAAAGAUGAAAAGCACUUUGGAAAGAGAGUUAAACAGUACGUGAAAUUGCUGAAAGGGAAACGCUUGAAGUCAGUCAUGUCUGCCAGGACUCAGCCUCGCUUCUGCUUGGUGUACUUUCUGGUUUGAUGGGCCAACAUCAAUUUUGACCGUUGGAGAAAGGCUUUGGGAACGUGGCACCUUCGGGUGUGUUAUAGCCCUUUGUUGUAUACAACGGUUGGGAUUGAGGACUGCAGCACGCCUUUAUGGCCGGGGUUCGCCCACGUACGUGCUUAGGAUGUUGGCAUAAUGGCUUUAAGCGACCCGUCUUGAAACACGGACCAAGGAGUCUAACAUGCCUGCGAGUGUUUGGGUGGAAAACCCAUGCGCGUAAUGAAAGUGACAGCUGAGAUCCUCUCAUCAGGAGCACCAGCGCCUGGACUUGAUCUACGGAGACGGUUCUACGGUAGAGCAUGUAUGUUGGGACCCGAAAGAUGGUGAACUAUGCCUGAAUAGGGUGAAGCCAGAGGAAACUCUGGUGGAGGCUCGUAGCGAUUCUGACGUGCAAAUCGAUCGUCAAAUUUGGGUAUAGGGGCGAAAGACU
rnacentral:rRNA from 1 species